AUAACCGAAGCGAAGAAGUUGGAUCAAAAUCUUCCUCAGGUAGAUCCCUCUGGCAUUAAUGUCCUGGAAAAAGCCAACGAAACGCAGACUUUCCUUCUUUAAACGCACAAUCCGCUAUCUUUGUCUUUCUUUCUCUCACUCCCACGCUCUCACUUGCUCGAAAAUGCGCCUAAUAACGCUACCCAAAACCCUGAAUCCCUCGCGCCUCAAAACCCUCCUCUUGAUAGUCUCCUUCCUCUUCAUCCUCUACCUCCUCUUCAACCGCCACAAUUGCCACGCGCCGCCGACCAUAAUCUCGCGCGCCUCAGAUUAUCCACUCACGCGCCGACACCUCCUGUUCGCCAUUGCCUCCUCGUCCAAGUCCUGGCCCCGACGGAAGCCUUACCUCCGCCUCUGGUACUCCCCCAACUCCACGCGUGCGUUCGCUUUCCUAGACAGCGUUGCCGCCUCCGAUGACGGUACCGUCCCUCCGGUCGUCGUUUCCGCUGACACCUCCAAGUUCCCGUAUACGUUCCGUGGAGGUCUCCGGUCGGCGAUCCGCGUGGCGCGCGCGGUGAAAGAGAUAGUGGACCGCGACGAGAAGGACGUGCGGUGGUACGUGUUCGGCGACGACGAUACCGUUUUCUUCGUGGACAACCUGGUGAAAACCCUAGCGAAGUACGACCACGCACGGUGGUUCUACGUUGGUAGCAACUCGGAGAGCUACGAGCAGAAUGUGAAGUACUCGUUCGACAUGGCGUUUGGCGGUGGAGGCUUCGCGAUAAGCUACUCGCUCGCUAAGGUUUUGGCGAGGGUUUUGGAUUCGUGCUUGGUGAGGUACGCACACUUGUACGGAAGCGACGCUAGGGUUUUCUCGUGCUUGGCGGAGCUCGGUGUUGGUUUAACUCAUGAACCUGGGUUUCAUCAGGUUGAUAUGAGGGGGAAUUUGUUUGGGAUGCUGUCUUCACAUCCAUUAUCUCCUCUACUGUCCCUUCAUCAUUUGGAUGCUGUGGAGCCAAUCUUCCCUAACAUAAGCAGGACUCAAGCAAUGGGACGUCUUUUUGAAGCUGUGAAUGCUGAUCCUGCCAGGAUUUUGCAGCAAAGUGUCUGCUAUGACCCUUCAAAUUCAUUGACUAUUUCAGUUGCGUGGGGUUAUGCUAUCCAGGUGUUUGAUGGUAAUGAAUCUCUCCCAGAUCUCCUUUCGCUGCAGAGAACCUUUACGCCAUGGAAGAGGAGUAUCAAUAUUGAUGCUAGUCAUUAUAUGUUUAAAAUGAGAGAGUAUCCUAAAGAUCCAUGUAAAAGGCCUGUAAUCUUCUUUUUGGAAAGUGUUAUACCUGAUAAAGGUGUUGUGUGGAGCUACUACACCAGGCAUGUGGUGAAAGAGUGUGUCAGACCUAGUGCAGUAAAGAAUUUGAAACACAUCAAAGUUAUCUCUCAGAUGCUUGAGCUUGAUAUUGAACAGAUGAAGGCUCCACGUCGUCAGUGCUGCAACAUUUUGCCCUCCUUUAACGAGUCGAUGGUCAUUAACAUUAGACAAUGUGGAGUUGAUGAACUAAUUUCCAUGCAUAUCUAGCAUUUCUUGGGAAGAGGAAACUUUGAAGUACAAACAAAGCUCAGAAAGUUUUGAAGCAGUUUUGGUAGCAAACUGCAAGGAGGGAAAAAAAGAAAAAAAGGUGCUUGAAGAUGGCUGGUGAUUUUUUUUCAGCAGAAAGUCCUCUGCCAGCAAAUAAGGUGUUUGGCCCAGAAAAGAAUUGGCUAUUUCCUGAUAAGUUCACAGAUUGUAUUACCUCUGAGAAAUUUUGAUAAAAAGAUACACAUAAAGGAAGAAUGCUGAUUACACGCCAAAGAAGAGAGAUGACACUAGUAUCUAGCAUGAAAUGUGCAAGAUUUGUUAUGGAUUAUGGUGUAUGGUCAUGUAUUUGGAAUUAGUUACUUUUAGAUACAUCUGAUGAUGAUAGAGCUUAUGAAGUUGUUUAUUAGUUUUGUUCUAUAGAAGAAUAAUGCCUCAUGCAUGAGGCUACUAAUUUAUACAAGGAUUGGAAAGAUUUUUUUCUCUUCAAGCUAUUGUUUUCCUGUGCCUUACCUUCUGUAUAUUGCGGGGAAGGUUUGGGAAGUGAAGAGAAGAGCAGUUGGUCUUGUACUUGGUUUCUCGGUUAUAAAAUUAAGAGUAACAAGAACAACCCUUGACAUUUUGUACCUUA